rnacentral:lncRNA from 10 species
CUCUUGCCUGUGAGACUUGGACUUGGCCACUAAGAGAGAGAGCCCAGCUCAUUUCUCUAAAAACGUGGAUAGCAGAGGAGUGCCUCGCUCUGUCACCCAGGUUGGAGUGCAGUGGCAUGAUCUUGGGUCAUUGCAGCCUCGACCUCCUGGGCUCAAGCAAUCCUCCCACCUCAGCCUCCCAAGCAGCUACAGGUUUCCAUGUCAGAGGCCGAUGGAGAACUGAAGAUUGCCACCUACGCACAAAGGCCAUUGAGACACUUCGUGUAGCUGGAAGACACCAACUUCCUGACAGGAGCUUUAUUUCAUUUGGGAUUUCAAGUUUACAGAUGGUAUCUUCUCAAAAGUUGGAAAAACCUAUAGAGAUGGGCAGUAGCGAACCCCUUCCCAUCGCAGAUGGUGACAGGAGGAGGAAGAAGAAGCGGAGGGGCCGGGCCACUGACUCCUUGCCAGGAAAGUUUGAAGAUAUGUACAAGCUGACCUCUGAAUUGCUUGGA